GACAGACAGUGGUAGGUUGUUCGACUUCUAACCGCAAGGGUCUGGGUUCGAUCCCCAGUGUCCGAAACCUACCA
rnacentral:tRNA from 1 species